rnacentral:rRNA from 1 species
GCAUUAUGUGCUUGCACAUUUUGGACGUCGACCGGCGCACGGGUGAGUAUCGCGUAUCCAACCUGCCCUUUACUUGGGGAUACCCCGUUGAAAGACGGCCUAAUACCCGAUGUAAUUCAUUGAUGGCAUCAGAUAUGAAUAAAAGAUUUAUCGGUAAAGGAUGGGGAUGCGUCUGAUUAGCUUGUUGGUGAGGUAAAGGCUCACCAAGGCGACGAUCAGUAGGGGUUCUGAGAGGAAGGUCCCCCACAUUGGAACUGAGACACGGUCCAAACUCCUACGGGAGGCAGCAGUGAGGAAUAUUGGUCAAUGGGCGCAAGCCUGAACCAGCCAAGUAGCGUGCAGGAAGACGGCCCUAUGGGUUGUAAACUGCUUUUAUACGAGAAUAAUUUGAUGCACGUGUGCGUUAUUGCAUGUAUCGUAUGAAUGAGGACCGGCUAAUUCCGUGCCAGCAGCCGCGGUAAUACGGAAGGUCCAGGCGUUAUCCGGAUUUAUUGGGUUUAAAGGGAGUGUAGGCGGUUUGUUAAGCGUGUUGUGAAAUUUAGGUGCUCAACAUUUAACUUGCAGCGCGAACUGUCAGACUUGAGUACACGCAACGUAUGCGGAAUUCAUGGUGUAGCGGUGAAAUGCUUAGAUAUCAUGAAGAACUCCGAUUGCGAAGGCAGCAUACGGGAGUGUAACUGACGCUUAAGCUCGAAGGUGCGGGUAUCGAACAGGAUUAGAUACCCUGGUAGUCCGCACAGUAAACGAUGGAUGCCCGCUGUUAGCGCCUGG